CCUUUCGUAGCUUAGUGGUAGAGCAACGGUGCGUGAAAACAAAGGUCCCGGGUUCGAUUCCCGGCGAGGGCG
rfam:Agrilus planipennis Contig3270, whole genome shotgun sequence.